UACGUAGGGUGCGAGCGUUGUCCGGAAUUAUUGGGCGUAAAGAGCUCGUAGGCGGUGUGUCGCGUCGGCCGUGAAAACCUGCAGCUUAACUGUGGGCUUGCGGUCGAUACGGGCAUCACUGGAGUUCGGCAGGGGAGACUGGAAUUCCUGGUGUAGCGGUGAAAUGCGCAGAUAUCAGGAGGAACACCGGUGGCGAAGGCGGCAUCCUGGACCAUUACUGACGCUGAGGCGCGAAAGCUAGGGGAGCAAACGGG
rnacentral:rRNA from 1 species